rnacentral:rRNA from 1 species
UGAUCCUGGCUCAGGAUGAACGCUAGCGGCAGGCCUAACACAUGCAAGUCGAGGGGUAACAGGAGAGCUUGCUUUUGCUGACGACCGGCGCACGGGUGCGUAACGCGUAUGCAACCUACCUCAUACAGGAGGAUAGCCCUUGGAAACGAGGAUUAAUACUCCAUGGUAUCAUGAAUUCGCAUGUUUUUAUGAUUAAAGUAUUACGGUAUGAGAUGGGCAUGCGUCCCAUUAGCUAGUUGGUGAGGUAACGGCUCACCAAGGCGACGAUGGGUAGGGGGCCUGAGAGGGUGGUCCCCCACACUGGUACUGAGACACGGACCAGACUCCUACGGGAGGCAGCAGUGAGGAAUAUUGGUCAAUGGAGGCAACUCUGAACCAGCCAUGCCGCGUGAAGGAUGACGGCCCUAUGGGUUGUAAACUUCUUUUAUAGAGGAAGAAACUUGUCUACGUGUAGACAACUGACGGUACUCUACGAAUAAGGAUCGGCUAACUCCGUGCCAGCAGCCGCGGUAAUACGGAGGAUCCAAGCGUUAUCCGGAUUCAUUGGGUUUAAAGGGUCCGUAGGCGGGUCUUUAAGUCAGUGGUGAAAGCCGACAGCUCAACUGUCGAACUGCCAUUGAUACUGGAGACCUUGAGUACAAAUGAAGUAGGCGGAAUGAGUCAUGUAGCGGUGAAAUGCAUAGAUAUGACUCAGAACACCGAUUGCGAAGGCAGCUUACUAACAUGUAACUGACGCUGAGGGACGAAAGCGUGGGGAGCGAACAGGAUUAGAUACCCUGGUAGU